GGAGGCUGCCCCGCCCCGUGGGAGCGCGCGGGCCCGGCUGAGUCCCGGCUGUUCCCGCGCCCCGGGUGUUCCCGCGGCCCGGGGCUGUCGGGGGGCGGGGCAGGCCUUUCUGCACGCGAAGGGGUGGGCUGCUCGGUGACGGGGAGCAGCGGGGGCGCACGGAGCCGGGAAACACGGUCUGGUUCCGGUUGCCUCGCGGUCCUGGGUGUCCCCACCUUUAAAGCAGGCGAGCCCCUUGCCACCGUGUCCCGGAGCCACGGCGAAGUCACAUUGACCACCCAGCCGGUAAAGUCCGUCCGGCGGGGGUGCACACGCGGGCACUCUGAGCUCGGUUUAUGUGUUGAAAGGGGGCGACUUAAGGGCUGGUAGAUUGCACUUCCGCGGCUCCAAACUUCUAGGCCUGUCUGCAUCUCAUUUAUUUCUCCUACCUCUCUUCAACUAAAAAAAAAAAAAAAAGUAAGAAAUAGAAGCGCCGCCUAUGGAAGCUGUUUUAGUUCCAGAGGAAGUGUAGAGACAAACUGACAGCCCCUCUCCAGUAAUUCUGGGGUUGUGUCAAACUCGGUUCCAGGGCCUAGGAAGGUGGAGGAUCUGAUUCAGGGCUGAGGGCUCUGACAUCGCGCAUCUUCUAAAGGUAUCUGCACGGCUACAUCGCAGCGCUGUGGUGCUGCUGGUGGCUGUUUAAAUGAAAUAUUAAAGCCUUGUCUUUAAAGAAAUGCAGUGAUAUUUGAAAUAGGGCUGAAUGUUGAUUUUAGAAAACAGUGGGUUUUCCGAAGUCAUGAGAUUUAUGCAGGAGGAACUGGAGUUAUGCCACUUAAGAGAAAAACUGACAUAUGGAGUGAUGACCACGUAUCUGAUCACACGGAGAGCUGCUGGUCCCUGGAAAGAUGACCCACUGAACUGUAGACUUACUUGGAAAAGUUUAAGGGAACACUUGAAGAAAAAAGCUGGGAGCUGCAGUUCCUUGAGGAUUAUGGGUCAUUCGGCCCCAUAACUGCUUCUGGUCCUCUUCAGAUUUGCUUGACCUGCUGGGUGCAGCCAUGAUGCAUGAGAAGCUGGAACUCCCGGUGUUUCAGCUUGGUGUGAAUUCAGGAAGGGGAGGCAGGCCUGCAGCCUUCAUUCCCUUAUGUGGAUGCUACAGAUAAAAUGCUGUUGGUCUCUGCAGGGUUCUGUUCUCAGUGCCGCAGAAUGUAAGUGCUCUCUUGCAGAAUUUACAGGAUGGAGCAGGAUGGAGGCUGCGGCUGGAGGAAAUCCUCUCUGGUUUGGUGAGUGAGCCUCUCACAAUGCGCUGACUUGUGCAGUCCUGACCUGACGUUGGCAACACCAACUGUUCAGGAAAGUUGAAAAAAAUGUGAGCUUAUUCAGAGUUAGAUUCCGUUUUGAGGAAAUAUCAUUUCUCCCAAGCAUUCAUGCAGACCCUCUACCCACCUCAUAAAUGGUCUGCUGGCCUUGCCAGAAGGUUGGAGAGAGGCAGAUGACAUAGCCAUUUUAAAAAAAGGGAAGAAAGUUCUGUAAACCACAGACCAGUGAACUUGACAUUGGGCCUGGGAAAUAUUCAGGACAGAUGACUCACGAAAAAUAUUUGUGACCCCUCAGAAGAGGAAGCACCAGUGACAAAGAUCGCGCCAUGCUAGGUUAACCUUACUUUCUGCUGUGGAAUGUAUAGACUGGAGAGACUAGACCUCCUCCCCUUGCAGUUACUGAUCUUUGUCAUAGAUUAACUGCCUCCUUUAUUGUCCUGUGCCUAACUCGGACCAGAUGGUGCAAAAGACUCCACUCCACGACUGUUACAUUGGUGUGGAAUGUUAAAUAUACCUUUCCCGAAAGAAAAAGACUGUCCCAACUAAUUAGAUCGUUUUAACUAUGCAUUAAGCCUUAUAUAGAAAGAUGUUAAAAUUCUGUUAAGCUUUCCUAAACUUUGGAUGAACAAUCCCAAACUUCUACACUUUGGAACACUGGCUUCCAUUCUUUGGACUCUCUGCUUCCCAGGUGGCUAGCCUCAAACUUUGCACUCCAAUAAACUCUCUAUAAACUA